rnacentral:rRNA from 1 species
UACGAAGGGUGCAAGCGUUACUCGGAAUUAUUGGGCGUAAAGCGUGCGUAGGCGGUUUCAUAAGUCUGGUGUUAAAGCUAGAGGCUCAACCUCUGUGAAUGCACUGGAAACUUGUGAGACUUGAGUGCGGUAGGGGAAGGUGGAAUUCCGAGUGUAGCGGUGAAAUGCGUAGAUAUUCGGAAAGAACACCGGUGGCGAAGGCGACCUUCUGGGCCGCAAACUGAACGCUGAGGCACGAAAGCCUGGGGAGCAACGGG